GCCAGCCAGUGGCAUGACCUGCGGCACUCGACUUGUAAUCGGGCGGUUAGGGGUUCAAGUCCCCUCGCCGGCUCCA
rnacentral:tRNA from 2 species